GGCCUUGUGGCGCAACGGUAGCGCGUUCGACUCCAGCUCGAAAGGUAUCGAAAGGUUAUCCGUUCAAAUCGGGUCAGGGUCA
rfam:Coniochaeta ligniaria NRRL 30616 unplaced genomic scaffold CONLIGscaffold_2, whole genome shotgun sequence.